GACGAACGCUGGCGGCGUGCCUAAUACAUGCAAGUAGAACGCUGAAGCUUGGUGCUUGCACCGAGCGGAUGAGUUGCGAACGGGUGAGUAACGCGUAGGUAACCUGCCUGGUAGCGGGGGAUAACUAUUGGAAACGAUAGCUAAUACCGCAUAACAGUAGAUAUCGCAUGAUAGCUACUUGAAAGGUGCAAAUGCACCACUACCAGAUGGACCUGCGUUGUAUUAGCUAGUUGGUGAGGUAACGGCUCAACAAGUCAACGAUACAUAGCCGACCUGAGAGGUGGAUCGGCCACACUGGGACUUAGACACGGCCCAGGCUCCUACGGGAUACGGCAGUAGGGAGUCUGCGGCAAUGGACGGAAGUCGGACCGAUCAACGCCGCGUGAGUGAUGAAGGUUUUCGGAUCGUAAAGCGCUGUUGUAAGAGAAGAACGAGGGUGAGAGUGGAAAGUGCACACGGUGACGGUAUCUUACCAGAAAGGGACGGCUAACUACGUG
rnacentral:rRNA from 1 species